AAGAUGCGGUCACACUCCUUGGGUGCGCGCUCGGUGCCAUUGCAGAAUCAUUGGUGCAAAAGCAAAGUCAAGUAAUAAGUAAGUCAAGUAUAUAAUAGAAGAAAUAAUGGAUUACUAUAUUAUAAGAGAAUAGAAGAGAGUUGGCACUGCGUAAGCUAUCUUCUGCAUUGAAUUCAAUUAGUAAAGGUAAGGCUAGAUAUAUGCGCUAUAAGACAUUGAGUGGUAAAUAUCGGAAUUGGCAGCUGCCUAACAGACUGUAGCUACCGACUAACAAGAAUGUCCUUAAUUAGAACUACCUUUUCUCUUAUUCUUAUAGUUUGACCUGGUAUUCCUAUUGGUACUCGCUUGGCUUUCAGCACCUCGGUUUCAAACUCAAACUUGCGCUUCUGGUACUUUCGCUGGGAACUUAGCCCUUAUUUACCUAUAUGUUAGUCUGACAUUCCCGCCUAAAAGUAUGUAUUGAUGGGUUUAGUACCCUUCUAUUGGUCUGGCAUUCCUCCCCUUAUCUCGAGCUUAAGCCAUCGGCAGCUGACGCUGCCCUUGAUCUGAGUACAUAUCGUAUGGUAAAUCAGAAUUCGACUAAGUAGUAACAGAGUUAGCCUCACGCAUAGGCAUUGAAGGCAGGAAGUUUGUUUGAGUUGGUAGCCAAAGAUAGAUGAGAAAUCAUAAAGCCCGGGCGGGGGUCCGACGAUUGCCCCCGGAAGGAUUACGUCCCUGGCUUGAAGGACUAUAGCACAGAAAAUGGUACUGAGCAUGGUAGAUAGCUUCCUACCAUUACACUUGAGAAAGCCAGUAACAAGAUCGAGUAUGGGUAGCGCUUUAACAUAACGUCUUUUCUUUCUUCACCACGACCCAGCUUCUAUUGAAUAAGCGUAAGGAGAUGUCGAUGAUGAAUAAGCGUAGUAAGGAGAUGUUGAUGAGGGGAUAAAAGAAUGAGCUUUGGUUCAGAGCUUGAAUCAGUAUAUCCUGAAGUAACUCCAGGUAAGGAGUUCAGCUAAGCCGGAAAGAAAGAUCGAGUUUAGUCUCUGGAUUGAAAGAAGCAAGUCACAGACUAAUAGCCGGGAAGACAGAGUGGAAAGGCGGGAUAGUGAGUUUGAAGCUAGAUCAGUGCCCGGUGUGUUAUAGAAUGCAAAUAAGUAGUUGGUUUCCGAGUGACUUGUCUGGUCUCGUACGCUAAUCAAAAUAGCUCCAAGUGGUCUAGUACGUAAAUGGAAAUAGUAUCGACUGACUCAAAGAGUGGAGCGGCGCCUCGACCAGUUGACCAAACUUAUCCGAUUAUUCUUUUGCUGUAUAGUAUAACUUCUUUCUAUUUGCUUUUGGAAAUCCGGUGAAAAACAUAGAAAUAUGGCGAUGCGUAACACAUGGUUUAUUUCAACAUGGAUUGAACCCAUAGAUAGUAUGUUGUGUGCCGGGCCGGUGACUCAUUCUUGUCGUAUAACCAUUCAUUCCUCGAGUAGUUAAGCGCACUCUUAAAGUGACAUCAAUUAGUCUGUUAGCGGACCACGCUCGUUGAUACCCAAGUCAACCAUAUUAUAAGUAUUCGUAGUCAGAGGGUAAUUGUGCAUUCUACUAUUAUAAUAAUCGAAUAGAUGAGUGACAAAGCACAUUCUCAAUAUAAGUAGGAAAAGACAGGUUAAGCCUAGAGAAGAGAGUAGAGUAGUGUGGAGGAACUGAGCAUACGAUAGAAUCACGCGCAUUAAGGGCUACUUCUGCUAGGCAAUCAUUUUCUAUUCUCAUUCAUUUGUUUAUACAAACAACCUAGGCCAACUUUUCAAUCGGAAAGAGAAAUGCUCUUCUUAUAGCCGACCCAUAACGCCUUAAAUGAGAGGGCGGCCUUCUUAUGUUCCUUAUUCCAACUAGAAAGUCACCCAAUAAGUAAGCCGAAUCGAAUGAAUACCCACGGAACGGAGUAGUGUUUGGAAGACAAUAAUAUAGUACUGGCAAUUAGUCAUAAGCAGGAUCUGGAUACGGGUCAUCAGAGGGAUCUUAAGCGGGAGAGUCAAUAAAGGUGGUCUCAGUUUCAAGAUCCUAAGCAGUACGGUAUCAAGCAGUUGGCGCAGCAGCAACUCAAUUAUGAACUUAAGGUGGUGUUCGAGCAAGGAUCUUUGCUUUGUGGUUGGGAGUGAGUGUUUAGGCGGGGGGCUCUCUAAGAAUGAAUGAUGUAAGUGCUCCUUCGUUCAUAGCACGGAGUGAGAUGUCUAUGUGCCCACCUGAACCUACGUACGUGUCAAUCAAGCAAGGCCAUUUUGCUUUUUGCCUAUGAUGCCAUGCCUGCUCUGACUUGCUCUAACUCUCGUAGCUAGUUCUUCAAUGCCCAUAUUUUGUAACUCAAUGCCAACCAAUACUGAUAACAAGGCUACUAAGGCUACUGGAAAGAAUGCAACAAAGGCAUACAAGAACGAAACUAGGAACAAAGGAGAUCUAACUAUACUGUUAACAAGGCUCGCACUGCGGACUAAAAGCUAUAUGACUCAUAAUAGGGAAUCGACAUGGGAAAGCUGGACUCCAACUCAUAAGUCAGAAUCCAUCUACUAUGCCAUCAGAACCAAUCUCGAAAGAAAGAAAAAACCUAGUCAAACAGAGGGCUCUAACGGGCUUAACCUCACAACUAAGGCUUUAGCUGCUACUUCUCAUUCUUGAGACCUAAAGAACUAUUCCAACUUUGUGGGCUUACCUUCAUUCUAGACCGAUGAACUUAGCUACUACUAUGGAAUACUACCUUAUAGACGGGAAUUCCAUCGCUGCUAAUGGGAAUGGGGCUACUAGCUAUCAUAUUGAAACGCUAUCGCCUCUAACUCUUUCGAACUCUGUCGCUCCUUUCUCUCAGUAUAGUAUGCUUGUCACCUGUUUGGGCGCUAUGCUUAUUCCUAUUAUUCUCUUACAACUACUUGCUCC
rnacentral:lncRNA from 1 species